CUUGACAUCUCAUUGUAGCAUGUUAUUUGGUUUUGUGUACACCUCUGUCAUUGGGAGUCAUAAUAAUCAUAGUAAUUUUAUUUAUUUAGGAAUUUAUAUUGUACCAAGAUAAUUCACAUAUAUUAGGUCAUUUAAUUAUUACACAAUUGUAUGAGGAAGAGGCUAUCUAUUUUAUUGGAAAUAAAACUGAGACUCGGAGAAUUUAUUAGGGACUAAUGCCCAUAAAAGAGAAAGUGGAGAGGGAAGAGGAAUAGGAGGGGACAGCAUCAGAUUACAAUGUAGUUCUGACCCCUGUGGAAGGAAGGAAGGAAAGAAGGAAGGAAGGAAGGAAGGUAGGUUGAGGAGAAAGAGACUCAGGAUUACAACUUUGAGAUAGUUUCAGCCAGCAUAGCAGAGAUGAGCUUGACUUGGGCAGAAAUGGCCAGGCCUUAGUACCUGGGGUGCAUUUCAUUUCCUGAAGUCAUUACAGGUGGAGGCUGUCAGCCAACUGCACUCCUAUGUAGGUUCUCUCUUAAAGAGGAACGGGAGCAGUGAGGUACCAUGGCACCUACAGUGGGGGACUUCUGUUUGGAAGUAGGGGUUGAUCCACAAGCGUUAAAAGGACACUGGACCAUUUGUUGAGGUCUUGUGAUGUCCCGAGUACUGUUUCUGUCCUUUGAUCUCCUAGGCAGAUGGCAGAAUGCCCUCUUGUGUCACCCCAUAUUCCUGUGUUCAUGAUUCAUUGUAAUUAUCUGACUGACUGCUUUUUCCACCAGGAUCCACGAUCCUUGAUAGCAGGACUAUAUUAUUUUUGUACCUCAAACUUUUUGGCAGAGCCUGGCCAAUAUUCACUCAUUCAUCCUCUCUAUAAAAUUUAUGAAAGAAAGGAGAGAUCCUAUGCAGGAAGGAGGGCAGAAGAAAUUGCUGGAAUGCAAUUUCAGAAGAGAAGCAUGGUCUCCUUAUUGAUGCAGUCAGAUAUAAAAUUAAGAGAAAGAAAGGUUCUACAAGUGAACUGGACAGAAGAUGCGUAUGUUGAGGCAACUGUGGAACCAUAAGGUACGGAGAUAGUUUCUACUAUAUGAUCCCAUUCUCACUUCACUAUUUCCUUCUGUGAAAUAAAACAAGUUUUGGAAAUGAAAUUUUUAAGAAGGAUUAUUUUUUACUGAUAGACAUGAGUAAUCCUGUAGGUCACACAGAGUGAGAGCCAGCAGAUGUAAUGAAUGUGUCCAUUUUGUUCCCUUUCCACCAUCACUCUGGUCAAAUAUGCCAUCCUUUCUUGCUGAACAACCAUAGUUAGCUUCUACUUUCAUCCGCUUUUUUCUUGAAUGUAAUGUACAAGCUAACUGUCAUCUUUGACUCUUCCUUUUCCCAUACCUUCCAUCUGAUGAGCCAAUGUAUCACACUAAGUCUACCCUCAACAUUG